rnacentral:rRNA from 1 species
AGUUUGAUUAUGGCUCAGAUUGAACGCUGGCGGGAUGCUUUACACAUGCAAGUCGAACGGCAGCACGGACUUCGGUCUGGUGGCGAGUGGCGGCGAACGGGUGAUAAUAUCGGAACGUGCCUAGUAGCGGGGGAUAACUACGCGAAAGCGUAGCUAAUACCGCAUACGCCCUUCGGGGAAAGCGGGGGACCUUCGGGCCUCGCACUAUUAGAGCGGCCGAUAUCGGAUUAGCUAGUUGGUGGGGUAACGGCUCACCAAGGCGACGAUCCGUAGCUGGUUUGAAGAGGACGACCAACCACACUGGGACUGAGACACGGCCCAGACUCCUACGGGAGGCAGCAGUGGGAAUUUUGGACAACGGGGAAACCUGAUCCAGCCAUCCCGCGUGUGCGAUGAGGCCUUCGGGUUAUGAAAGCACUUUUGGCAGGAAAGAAACGGCACGGGACCAUGCCCGUGCAACUGACGGUACCUGCAGAAUAAGCACCGGCUAACUACGUGCCAGCAGCCGCGGUAAUACGUAGGAGUCUGGCGUUAAUCGGAAUUACUGGGCGUAAAGCGUGUGAACGGUUCCGGAAAGAAAGAUGUGAAAUCCCAGAAGCUUAACUUUGGAACUGCAUUUUUAACUACCGAGCUAGAGUGUGUCAGGGAGGUGGAAUUCCGCGUGUAGCAGUGAAAUGCGUAGAUAUGCGGAGGAACACCGAUGGCGAAGGCAGCCUCCUGGGAUAACACUGACGCUCAUGCACAGCGUGGGAGCAAGCAGAGGAUUAGAUACCCUGGUAGUCCACGCCUAAACGAUGUCAACUAGCUGUUGGGGCCUUCGGGCCUUGGUAGCGCAGCUAACGCGUGAAGUUGACCGCCUGGGGAGUACGGUCGCAAGAUUAAAACUCAAAGGAAUUGACGGGGACCCGCACAAGCGGUGGAUGAUGUGGAUUAAUUCGAUGCAACGCGAAGAGCCUUACCUACCCUUGACAUGUCUGGAAUCCCGAAGAGAUUUGGGAGUGCUCGCAAGAGAACCGGAACACAGGUGCUGCAUGGCUGUCGUCAGCUCGUGUCGUGAGAUGUUGGGUUAAGUCCCGCAACGAGCGCAACCCUUGUCAUUAGUUGCUACGAAAGGACACUCUAAUGAGACUGCCGGUGACAAACCGGAGGAAGGUGGGGAUGACGUCAAGUCCUCAUGGCCCUUAUGGGUAGGGCUUCACACGUCAUACAAUGGUCGGGACAGAGGGUCGCCAACCCCGCGAGGGGGAGCCAAUCCCAGAAACCCGAUCGUAGUCCGGAUCGCAGUCUGCAACUCGACUGCGUGAAGUCAGGAAUCGCUAGUAAUCGCGGAUCAGCAUGUCGCGGUGAAUACGUUCCCGGGUCUUGUACACCGCCCGUCACACCAUGGGAGUGGGUUUUACCGAAGUAGUUAGCCUAACCGUAAGGGAGGGCGAUUACCACGGUAGGAUUCAUGACUGGGGUGAAGUCGUAACAAGGUAA